rnacentral:lncRNA from 1 species
UCCUCUUAACCAAGGAGUGUGGAGACACUGGUAUGGCAUACAGGUGAGAUGUAAGGGUACAUCUGCACUGAACGUGACCGACUCUGGAGCUUUUUUCUGCUGUCAAGAUUUGCUCCGAUGGGAUAUGGGUAUAACUGUCCCUUCGACCUGAGACCGCCACGGUGACUUGCAAGCAACACACUGUACUUAAGCACUGGACUACUUGAAUUUCUAAUUCAGUGACGAAAGGCUGCUGGGUGUAGUCAAGUACUUGACUUGUCGGUGCAUGUGUCAAGAUGGGAUUGACCACUCCAGUUCAGGAGCUGUGUACAGUUGUGUUUCAAUUUAGCAAAACCUUGGUCAGGGUAGUCCUAGUGAGGAGUCACAGGACUGAUUGAGUUGAGC